rnacentral:rRNA from 1 species
GUGCCAGCCGCCGCGGUAAUACCGGCAGCCCGAGUGAUGGCCGAUCUUAUUGGGCCUAAAGCGUCCGUAGCUGGCCGACCAAGUCUCCCGGGAAAUCCACCCGCCCAACGAGUGGGCGUCCGACGGAAACUGCACAGCUUGGGACCGGAAGGCUCGAAGGGUACGUUCGGGGUAGGAGUGAAAUCCCAUAAUCCCGCACGGACCACCGAUGGCGAAAGCACUUCGAGAAAACGGAUCCGACAGUGAGGGACGAAAGCUAGGGUCUCGAACCGGAUUAGAUACCCUGGUAGUCC